rnacentral:rRNA from 1 species
GACGAACGCUGGCGGCGUGCCUAAUACAUGCAAGUCGAGCGAAGUUUUUCUGGUGCUUGCACCGGAAAAACUUAGCGGCGAACGGGUGAGUAACACGUAAAGAACCUGCCUCAUAGACUGGGACAACUAUUGGAAACGAUAGCUAAUACCGGAUAACAGCAUUAACUGCAUGGUUGAUGUUUAAAAGUUGGUUUUGCUAACACUAUGAGAUGGCUUUGCGGUGCAUUAGCUAGUUGGUGGGGUAAAGGCCUACCAAGGCGACGAUGCAUAGCCGACCUGAGGGGGUGAUCGGCCACACUGGGACUGAGACACGGCCCAGACUCCUACGGGAGGCAGCAGUAGGGAAUCUUCCGCAAUGGGCGAAAGCCUGACGGAGCAACGCCGCGUGAGUGAAGAAGGAUUUCGGUUCGUAAAGCUCUGUUGUUAGGGAAGAAUGAUUGUGUAGUAACUAUACACAGUAGAGACGGUACCUAACCAGAAAGCCACGGCUAACUACGUG